rnacentral:rRNA from 1 species
CUACACGGGUUUCUAAUCCUGUUUGCUCCCCACGCUUUCGUGUCUCAGCGUCAGUACUCGUCCAGUUGGCCGCCUUCGCCACCGGUGUUCCUCUCGAUAUCUACGAAUUUCACCUCUACACCGAGAAUUCCACCAACCUCUCCGGUACUCUAGCUAAGCAGUAUCGAGUGCACUUCCUGGGUUGAGCCCAGGGCUUUCACAUCCGACUUACCUAGCCGCCUACACACGCUUUACGCCCAGUAAUUCCGAACAACGUUUGCACCCUCUGUCUUACCGCGGCUGCUGGCAC